AUUGAACGCUGGCGGCAGGCCUAACACAUGCAAGUCGAACGGUAGCACAGAGAGCUUGCUCUCGGGUGACGAGUGGCGGACGGGUGAGUAAUGUCUGGGAAACUGCCCGAUGGAGGGGGAUAACUACUGGAAACGGUAGCUAAUACCGCAUAACGUCGCAAGACCAAAGUGGGGGACCUUCGGGCCUCACACCAUCGGAUGUGCCCAGAUGGGAUUAGCUAGUAGGCGGGGUAAUGGCCCACCUAGGCGACGAUCCCUAGCUGGUCUAAGAGGAUGACCAGCCACACUGGAACUGAGACACGGUCCGGACUCCUACGGGAGGCAGCAGUGGGGAAUAUUGCACAAUGGGCGCAAGCCUGAUGCAGCCAUGCCGCGUGUAUGAAGAAGGCCUUCGGGUUGUAAAGUACUUUCAGCGGGGAGGAAGGCGAUGUGGUUAAUAACCUUGUCGAUUGACGUUACCCGCAGAAGAAGCACCGGCUAACUCCGUGCCAGCCGCCGCAGUAA
rnacentral:rRNA from 1 species